UGAAGACAACGAGAUAAAGAGAGAACUAGUGAGCAAGGCUGUAGUCAUCCUGAUAGAUAUAGCAGCAAGAAUGAUUUAGGCUGCUGGGGAGGAUCCAAUGAGAAUUCAAGAGGGCACCACUUCGGAAAUCCUGCUCUGAUCUUCCCACUCUCAGUUCUUUAAGAGUUACCUGCGUUGGGACCAUUAUCAUUAGGAUUAAUAGUAUUCCAUCAGUGCAUUUCACUAGUAUUUCCCUUGAACAUUUUCACUUGCAGCAACUGAGGGAGGCGUAGUAAGGAAGCCCAACACAACCAAUUCCCCCACUCCCCAAAUAAACCACUACGACCGGUCACAUUACGAUGACCAAAUCAUCAGCGAUUUGCACGAGGCGGUGGGGGGUGGGGGGUGCGGGCGGUGAUCGAAGGGCUGAAGAUGCGGAGGAGGCCGAGUCGCUAGGCGCUUUCGGGGGCGCUGUGCCGGUGAGGCUUAGGCAAGGGGACGGGGAACCGUGGUUAGAUGCAGCAGCGGCGGCAGCAGCCCUCCCAGGUCCCACUUCUUUGGCGUUCCUGCUGCCUGUGACUCAAGACAAUUGACUUCCACCUGAACCCUCAGCUCCGAACGCCUUGCAUUAGAAGCUAGAGCUUUGGAGGUUCUGAGGACGGUCCCUGGGGAGCAAGUGGUAGGUUUCGAGGCGCCCGCUUCCCCUCUGAUUCCUGCAGUAACUGAGAGAGAGUGUGCCAGAAAUGGCUUUGCUGCCGAAUGCAUUAUCUUGCCAUUUUCGUGUCCCAAUACUGAACAAACGAUCGCCUGAUCGAUCGAGACUGAGGCGCUGAAUGAUAGAGGGAAUAAACAUUUGCCCUGG
rnacentral:lncRNA from 1 species